ACGUCAGUAGCUCAACUGGUAGAGCAGCGGUCUCCAAAACCGCAGGUUGGGGGUUCGAGUCCCUCCUGACGUGCGA
rnacentral:tRNA from 1 species